GUGAAUCAUCGAAUCUUUGAACGCAUAUUGCACUCUCUGGGAAUCCGGAGAGUAUUCCUGUUUGAGGGUAAUUAAAAAGAAUCUUGAACCAAUUUUUUUUGGUCGAAGGAAAGGAGUUCUCCGCGUUUAUAGCGGUAGCUUGAAAUAAAUGGUAGUCUCAUUUUAGUCGAGUGGCGUAAUAAUAUUAUUUCGCGAAAUCUUUAUUACGGGACUAUCAAGAUUUGAUGCAUACAAAUUCGG
rnacentral:misc_RNA from 1 species